UACGGAGGGUGCAAGCGUUAUCCGGAUUCACUGGGUUUAAAGGGUGCGUAGGUGGGUUGGUAAGUCAGUGGUGAAAUCCCCCGAGCUUAACUUGGGAACUGCCAUUGAUACUAUCAGUCUUGAAUACCGUGGAGGUCAGUGGAAUAUGUCAUGUAGCGGUGAAAUGCUUAGAUAUGACAUAGAACACCAAUUGCGAAGGCAGCUGGCUACACGAAUAUUGACACUGAGGCACGAAAGCGUGGGGAUCAAACAGG
rnacentral:rRNA from 1 species